rnacentral:ncRNA from 2 species
GGUUGGCUUUAGGGGCGUUCCAAUGUUGGAACUGAGAUAGUACCCUUUGAACCUGAUCCAGGUCAUACUGGCGUAGGGAAAAGCAUGGAAGGCAUU